rnacentral:rRNA from 1 species
GACGAACGCUGGCGGCGUGCUUAACACAUGCAAGUCGAACGGAAAGGCCCUGCUUUUGUGGGGUGCUCGAGUGGCGAACGGGUGAGUAACACGUGAGUAACCUGCCCUUGACUUUGGGAUAACUUCAGGAAACUGGGGCUAAUACCGGAUAGGAGCUCCUGCUGCAUGGUGGGGGUUGGAAAGUUUCGGCGGUUGGGGAUGGACUCGCGGCUUAUCAGCUUGUUGGUGGGGUAGUGGCUUACCAAGGCUUUGACGGGUAGCCGGCCUGAGAGGGUGACCGGCCACAUUGGGACUGCGAUGCGGCCCAGACUCCUACGGGAGGCAGCAGUGGGGAAUAUUGCACAAUGGGCGGAAGCCUGAUGCAGCAACGCCGCGUGCGGGAUGACGGCCUUCGGGUUGUAAACCGCUUUCGCCUGUGACGAAGCGUGAGUGACGGUAAUGGGUAAAGAAGCACCGGCUAACUACGUG